CCUACGGGUGGCAGCAGUGGGGAAUAUUGGGCAAUGGGCGCAAGCCUGACCCAGCAACGCCGCGUGAAGGAAGAAGGCUCUCGGGUUGUAAACUUCUUUUAUCAGGGACGAACCAAAUGACGGUACUUAAUGAAUAAGCCACGCCUAACUACGUGCAAGCAGCCGCGGUAAUUCGUAGGUGGCAAGCGUUAUCCGGAUUUACUGGGUGUAAGGGGCGUGUAGGCGGGAGUGCAAGUCAGAUGUGAAAACCAUGGGCUCAACCCAGGGCCUGCAUUUGAAACUGGAGUUCUUGAGUGUAGGAGGGGCAAGCGGAAUUCCGUGUGUAGCGGUGAAAUGCGUAGAUAUACGGAGGAACACCAGUGGCGAAGGCGGCCUGCUGGACAAUAACUGACGUUGAGGCUCGAAAGCGUGGGGAGCAAACAGGAUUAGAUACCCGAGUAGUC
rnacentral:rRNA from 1 species